AUGGGACGCUCUAAGAUGGACAUGGUGCGAAGAGCCUAUUGAGCUAGUUGGUAGUCCUCCGGCCCCUGAAUGCGGCUAAUCCCAACUGCGGAGCAUGUGUCUUCACUCCAGAAGAUAGCAUGUCGUAACGGGCAACUCUGCAGCGGAACCGACUACUUUGGGUGUCCGUGUUUCCUUUUAUUCCUACACUGGCUGCUUAUGGUGACAAUUCAAGAAUUGUUACCAUAUAGCUAUUGGAUUGGCCAUCCGGUG
rnacentral:other from 15 species